AGCAUCAAAUGCAGCAGAGCGGGAGAUGCAGGGAUAGGAAGACAGAUAGAGCUUUGAAAGCUUGCAGAGAUUGCCUGAAAGAACUGGAAGAGGUCCGGGACUUGGCUUCCCAUCUGCAAAGACACCUGGGGAGGACUACUGACAAGGGCACCAUUCAUCAGCUCUCCUCUCAAGAACCCCCUGGCGAGGUAUACAAGCAAGCCCCUGCUGGAUCCCACUAGCCAUGUAGGCAAGAGGCUGCUCCCGCCAUGUCCCCACCUCCGCUGACUGAGCAGCCUCCAUCUCAGGCCUCCACAGUUUCUCCAAGAUCAGUGACCUCAGUUUCUGUUCACUCAGAUUCCUCCCUGACUCGCUCUCAGCACCAAAGCUUUUCCUUCCCCUGGACAGACUUUCACUCUGGCCACCUGCUCUUUCCCCUUCCCUGCCAUGCCCUCCUGACCCAGGGGCUGCCCUGCACCUAUAACAGACUCCUCUGCACCCCCUCCCCAACAGGCUCCAUGAUGUGUCUCACUAGGGCUGACUCCUUAGCACUCCCACUGAGCACCAUCUCACACAGUUCAUACCCUCUCCCCUUGGAGACCAGCCAUCUCAAGCCUUGUUCUUUCAAGCUGUCCCCUUUCAGCCCUGUCUUGGUGGCAGGGGACUGCCAAAGCCUGAAGUUUCUCUACCUUGACACACUUGAGUCCCAGCAAGAAUACCUUCCCUGCCACCUGUCAGAGGCCUCAUUUUGGGGAGACCCCACAAACAUACAGGUAGAGGCUGGUAGCCUCUCUUUUGUCAACCUGGAUGUCCAGAAGCUGUUGGAGACGCUAAUCACCAAGACAGCAGAACUGAAGAUUUGGAAGGAGAAUGAAAAGGAGGUGCAGGCAGGCUACCAUCUGACUUAUUUGGGGAAGAGGAUCAAGUCACUUGGUGACAAGCAGGACACGAUGGGUUGCCAACACUUCUGGAGCAUAAAAGGCAAAGCAGAACAACUGCUUGGUCCUGAGAAGCCCCUGUAUCCUGACAUUUUGGGGACCAUCUACAGAAGACAGGCAGCCAGCUCUUCUGGGAUUUCUUUCUGUACAGUGAGUCUCUGGUGGCUACUGUCACAGUUCCUGGGUCUCCUCUAGAGCUACACCCUAUCUUAUUCAAUGAACUCUCUAAUGCUGAGCCAUUCCAAAUUCAAGCUAAAGUAACCUCACAGCUGUCAUUUGCCCAGCUCUUGACUCACCCUGUGACCCAGGCUCAACUUCAGUCCUUGACUCAAACCAAGCCCCAAUGUCAACCACCACUUUGG